rnacentral:rRNA from 1 species
UACGGAGGGUGCGAGCGUUGUCCGGAAUCACUGGGCGUAAAGGGCGCGUAGGCGGCCUGAUAAGUAGGGGGUGAAAUCCUGCGGCUUAACCGCAGGGCUGCCUUCUAAACUGUCAGGCUUGAGCACAGUAGAGGCAGGUGGAAUUCCCGGUGUAGCGGUGGAAUGCGUAGAGAUCCGGAGGAAGACCGGUGGCGAAGGCGGCCUGCUGGGCAGUUACUGACACUGAGGCGCGGACGAGCGUGGGGAGCAAACAGG